rnacentral:tRNA from 1 species
GCCGAAAUAGCUCAGUUGGUGGAGCGGCGCAUUCGUAAUGCGUAGGUCGUAGAUUCGAUUCCUAUUUCCGGCCCCA